AUGUUGAAUUUUAUUGUUUUGUUCCUAUGUUGCAGGCCACUGGACAGGAGGUUGUUGACAUCCAUCACCAUGUCUUCCAGGAAUUCCAGAUUCUGUGGCUUCGAACCUCCACAAGUCAGGGUGAUAGGGAAGACUGACACUGGUUUUAAAUGGACAGCACAAAGGAUGGGCCACAUUGUUCUUCCUGAGCUCUUAAACAGAGGUAGCCCAUCUACGUUGAAGGAAAGGUCAACACAGUCGGGGACCUGGUCUGCUGGGUAUCUCAAUAGAGUCUGUUGCAAUUUGUCCUUGAUAGGAAAAUGGACAUGCUCCAUACCAGACUUUGAUGUGAUCCUGACCUCCCUUGGUGUCUUCAGGAGUGUCCUGGUGGUGGAAGGCAGGGACCGAACUGAAGACGCUGGGAUCCACCAUUUAAGAGACAUCCGGAAUCAACAGGACAUCUUCACAACCCUGACUCGGCAGCGACAGUUGAGCCAGCCUCUCUGCAGCUUAAGGACAACUUCAGCUUGAUCGAAAACUGGGGGGCAAUUCGUAUAAUAAUAGGAUAAAAACACCAGAUUUGGUGUUUUAAGGUUUAUUAGUCUGAGGUUUAAUUAAUGUAUCAAAGCAACACAGCACUCGUGAUCGUGGGGUGGCUAUCUGGGCCACUCGACAUCAGAACCUCGAGUUUGCAGCCUCAACAAAACACCCGUGAUUAUAUCAUUGCCCAACCCCACUCUCACUCACACAAUUUCAAAUUGCAUUGAUGACCUUAUUUCAGCCUUGGUUACCGAAUACCAAGAUUAAACUCAGGUUGAUUGUCAGUUCAGUCUUAUCCUGUGGGUCAGGCACUGCUGUUAUUUUCUUGUAACUUAAAAUUGCACUAGACAGCAUUAAUAUUAGUUUGGAUUGGAUUCUGAUUAGCAGUCACUGCUUUAGCUAUACUCUCCACCUCAGCCUCUCCACGGCCUUUAUGCUCAGUCCUGGUUGACCAAUGUAAACCUUCAAUGUGGUUUGUUCACUUGAAUCCGUGAAACGCAUGAAUUUUACUUCAAAUGUUUUGUUAAUAGAAAGAAUUGUCGUGAUUUGGUCCCUGUAUAUGAAUUUGAAAUAAAUGAUUCAUCAAUUCAGUAUCUGAAUAUAUUUCAUUUCUAUUUUUCAACAGGGUCAGAGUUUGUGGAAAUGAGAAUUGUUAUGUAGUUCUGGAUGGUCAACAUAGUUGAGCACAAAUAUUUGUUGUGGGAAUUGAGUCAUCACUAAGUAGUAAAUAAACAAUAAAAGUGGUGACAUUUUCUGAUUUAACCUAAUAUUUGUGUUGGACACAAACAGCCAGUGUAAUUCUGAAGUUUGAUAUCACGGUAAGUAAAUGACCACACCACUACGUAGCCGUGACAUUACUUGCAUUACCAAGUGGCAACGUUAGCAAAUGACCACACCACUACGUCGCAGCAACGUUAUUAACAGUACCAAGCGGCAACGUUAACAA
rnacentral:lncRNA from 1 species